CCUGAGAACAGUGCCAGCAGCUGGCUUCGUGACAUUCUGGAAGCCCCGUGCAAUGCUGUCAGGAGCAUAGGGAUUUUACUUUAUCUCCCUUGCUUAUGCUCCACAUAACUGAAAUAUCUCACUGGAAGCUGCAGCAGUGCUGGCCCCUUGCACAGCCAUAUGUGACCACUGCAGAACAAUCAGUUGGAGAGACAGUUUGGACUACAUGGAGGGUGGAGAUAAGGACAAAGUGAAGAAUACACAGGAACCAGUGCCUCCUCCUGGAACUAUGCAACUCCAAGCUGCUUCCAUCAGCUGCUAGGUCCAGUAGGGAGGGACCU
rnacentral:lncRNA from 1 species